AUUUGAAACAAAUUUUAGUUGUUAUACAAACAAAAAUAAGUGUUAAAAGCUAGUGAAUUCCGGUGCUAGUUAGUGUAUUAAAGAAAUAACAUCAGACAACUUUUACAAGACAAGAGAUAUUCGGAUGAUUAUAAAAAUCUUAGGGAUACAUUCAAGAUAAUACAAAAGGAGUAUGAGACAAAAUCAGCCCUCCAAUUUUUACACAGAAUUUUUUAAAGACAUCCGCCAAGAGAGCAUUCUCCGGAACGGGACGAAGAUAGAAUACUAUUUUAUUUUGUUAUUUUAAUUUUAGUGUAUAUAAAUAUCCUCAAUACAUUUAUUUUAU